rnacentral:rRNA from 1 species
CAGGGAAUACUUACGGGAGGCAGCAGUGGGGAAUCUUGGACAAUGGGGGCAAGCAGAAUCCAGCCAUGCCGCGUGACUGAUUAAGGCCUUAGGAUAGUAAAGUUCUUUCGCCAGAGAUGAUAAGGCCAUAAUCUGGUAAGGAACCCCGGGUAAAUUCCGUCCCAGCAGCCGCGGUAAUACGGAGGGGGUUAGCGUUAUUCGGAAUUACUGGGCGUAAAGCGCACGUAGGCGGAUCAGAAAGUAUGAGGUGAAAUCCCGGGGCUCAACCCCGGAACUGCCUUGUAAACUCCUGGUCUUGAGUUCGAGAGAGGUGAGUGGAAUUCCGAGUGUAGAGGUGAAAUUCGUAGAUAUUCGGAGGAACACCAGUGGGGAAGGCGGCUCACUGGCUCGAUACUGACGUUGAGGUGGGAAAGUGUGGGGAGCAAACAGGAUUAGAUACCCUGGUAGUCCACACCGUAAACGAUUAAUGCCAGACGUCAGCAAGCA